AGAGUUUGAUCCUGGCUCAGGACGAACGCUGGCGGCGUGCCUAAUGAAUGCGAGUCGAACGGAACAUAGAGAUCGUGAUUGCUUUCGGGCGGUCACCCUUUAUGUUUAGUGGCAAACGGGUGAGUAACACGUGGAUAACGUGCCUUCAAGCCGAGGAUAACAGGGCGAAAGUCCUGCUAAUACUCGAUGGUCUGCCCCUGCUUUGGCGGGGACCAGUAAAGCUCCGGCGCUUGGAGAUCGGUCCGCGGUCCAUUAGCUUGUUGGUGGGGUAAUGGCCCACCAAGGCGACAAUGGGUAGCUGGUCUGAGAGGACGAUCAGCCACACUGGGACUGAGACAUGGUCCAGACUCCUACGGGAGUUAGCAUCCGGGAAUCUUGCACAAUGGGCGCAAGCCUGAUGCAGCGACGCCGCGUGGGUGAUGAAGGUCUGCGGAUCGUAAAGCCCUGUCAGGAGGGACGACACCCGACUGUACCUCCAAAGGAAGCCCCGGCUAACUACGUGCCAGCAGCCGCGGUAAAACGUAGGGGGCUAGCGUUGUCCGGAAUUACUGGGCGUAAAGGGCACGCAGGCGGUCUGUAAAGCGGUGGGUGCAAUCUCGAGGCUCAACCUCGAAACUGCUUGCCGAACUGGCAGACUAGAGCACGGGAGAGGACAGUGGAAUUCCCGGUGUAGCGGUGGAAUGCGUAAAUAUCGGGAGGAACACCAGUGGCGAAGGCUGCUGUCUGGAACGUUGCUGACGCUGAGGUGCGAAAGCUAGGGGAGCGAACGGGAUUAGAUACCCCGGUAGUCCUAGCCGUAAACGAUGCUCACUAGGUGUUGCCGGCAUUAACCCCGGCAGUGCUGUUCUGCUAACGCGCUAAGUGAGCCGCCUGGGGAGUACGGCCGCAAGGCUGAAACUCAAAGGAAUUGACGGGGGCCCG
rnacentral:rRNA from 1 species